CGGGUUCCGUCGUGAGUACAUUCAUCCUCAUCCACACACCUCUCCUGUCCGCUCGUCCCCCCCUUCCUCUGCACACUUUUGCUUUUUCGGUCUAAAUGUGUGAGAGUGAGAGUGUUGUUAGAUGUGUUCGUCCUUCCUGUGUCUGUCUAUUAUAUUAUAUGGUUUCGGAGGAUGGCAAAAUGUUGAUGGGAUGUAUAGAUUUGCAUUGUUAGGGUUUGCAUGGAAUGAAUGCUCUUUCCGGAUGGUGUUGGUUAGUGGCUUCAAUGUAAGCUCACGUGCCUGUAAUAAAGCAUGUGUGUAAUAUAUUAUUGUAACCAAGAGCCAAUUUAGAAUAAUGAGAAUAUUCUAUUUCAGAUAACUACAAUGACUUGCUCAAUUUAAACGUAAUCCCAUCGAAACAGAUUCCUUUCAUGGAGGAUGUACUGCUAACGAUUCUUAAUUCAGAAAGGCUACAAAUUAGCAGUUAGUUAUUUUCCAUUCUUUAUUUAUUUAUUUGUUUGUUUAUUUAUUUUUAUUUAAAGUUAAAAAUCCUCCACAUAUAGGCAC
rnacentral:lncRNA from 1 species